rnacentral:misc_RNA from 1 species
GAUGAAGAACGUAGCGAAAUGCGAUACCUGGUGUGAAUUGCAGAAUCCCGCGAACCAUCGAGUCUUUGAACGCAAGUUGCGCCCGAGGCCACCCGGCCGAGGGCACGCCUGCCUGGGCGUCACGCCAAAACACGCUCCCACCCCCCCUCACCGGGGGAGCGGGACGCGGCGUCUGGCCCCCCGUACCGCGAGGCGCGGUGGGCCGAAGAUCGGGCUGCCGGCGUACCGUGCCGGGCACAGCGCGUGGUGGAUCUCUACUCGGCGCAGUGCACCCGGCGCGUAGCCGGCGCAGCGGCCCCUAAGGACCCAACGAACGGAGCGCGAGCCGCUCCGACCGCGACCCCAGGUCAGGCGGGACUACCCGCUGAGUUUAAGCAUAUCAAUAAGCGGAGGA